rnacentral:lncRNA from 1 species
GUAUCUUUCAGGACAGUCUUUAUUAAAAGCAAUUGGAUUAAUAAUCUCUGAAUUGUCAUGAAUCUGCAAGUGUCCAGGAUUUCACAUGAAGAAGAUGAGAGAAGACAACUCAGAGCGUGGAGUGACUUCCCUUCAUUUUAAACAAGGUGUUCCAGGCUACGCUAUGGAAGUCAACUUUGUGGGAUUGAAACGUUAAGCUGGAAUCCUUUCGACUUUUAUGAAUGCAAGAGCUUGUCAGCUUCAGGAGGAUGCUCCACCAUUGAUGAAGGAAGGGUCAAGAGUGAAGAAGGGAUGCUCCAUGUGGCAAUGUGACACCAAUUUUCCACGACGGGGAGGAAAAAGUCCAGUAGUUGACAAUGAAUAGGAUGCCACAACCUCUUGAGUGAAAGGUAACCUGUAUGGUGGACUCUCAAUCUCUGUAUACUCAUAAGAGAUCCACAGGGGAACAUAAAGAGAGAAGUAAAAUGUGUUCAGAAGUUUAAGAUUCUCCAAGGUUUAAGCUGGUCAGUUGAUCAGUCAAAGGAUGAAGAUUCAGUUUUACAAGACAAGAAUUAAGAAGUUUUACUUACAUAUACGAAGUUGCAUUGGAUUACGUUUCAUUACCAUAAAAAUAGUCAUAAGACUAUCAAGUAGUUUAAUGAUAAUGUAGUCUAUAUUGUGUUCUGUAACCUUUACACAGCUUGUGCCUGAAUUGCUCCUUUGAAUCGUCACAAAGUCUCAUGAUAUAGGCAGGGCAGAUAUGAUGGGAAUUUUUUCAGUUGAGAAAACUGCAGUCUAGAGAGGUUAAAUGAGGCCCAGAAAGGCCAAGCCACAUAUCAAAAUACCUACAAUAGCCUGGCAGGUAUAUAAAUGUGUGAAUAAGCUUACCAUAAUAAAACAGGGAAUGAUGGGGCUUGAGGCAAAAUUUGAGAACAUAUGACCCAGCAAAAAGCAUUACAAUUCUAAAGGCUUAAAAAAACAUGUUGCCAAACAGUACAUGUUUGUGGGGGAAGAUUUCACUCUCAGAAAACCAAAUCACUCUUUCUUGUAGUCAGUGAAACUAGUCUCCUCUUCUGACUUUUUCAGCUCAACUGAAUUCUGUGAAUAGCUAUUCAAAUCUUUCUCUAUGUCAUAGUCUCUGCCCUCCAAGUGUUUAAAAUGUGAUUGGGCAUUGACAACAUGGCUAUCAGGUGUGAUUAUGUGGGUUGCACCUUGAGCACCUCUAGAAGAGAGAAGCCAUUCACAUUGCAAGCUAAGUGAAUUGAGUUGGGCAGUGCUCAAUACACAAUGGCCCCCAACUACCCUGGUUGGUUAUAUUCCUGGUAUAUAAGAAAAUUAAGUAAAGUAAAAGUCAUAAAAGAGUAGUAAGUGCUAGAAAAGCCAAAAGGAAAGAGUUUGCAGGCUAUUGGCGAGUUCCAUGCUCUUCGCUCUUUGGGCAAUGACUAAUCCUGCGUGACCCUGCUUCUUCCAUAAAGCCCCAGGCAAUGCAAGGAGUGUCAUAUGGACUUCUGUGAGCAUCUGUGAGGAUGCUACUCCUUCCAAAUCUGGAUUUCUUAGCUUCACAGUCAUUUUGUUCUUUCACCUUCUUCUCUUCUGGGUUCCUACCAAGCCUGGACUUCUGCAUUUCAAAUACUGGAUAAAUUUAAAAAAUGCAUUAAGGAGAAUGGGUUGGGGAAGGAACAAGCUCUGAUAAAUUACCAACGAGUCAUUUAUUAUGAUAUCCUCAUGAAGAGAAAAAAGAGGUCUACUCAGGAAAAAUGUUAGAGAUCUUUAGCUGUAUGUUCUCCUGAGAAACCUUCAUAAAAGAAGACUCAGUGGUGAGCAGCCCUGGGUUUACGGUCUUCUCAGGAUAACAUUUCAGUAAAGGUGAUUGAGAUAUAUCAGUUUAAAGGGCCCAGGACAAGAAACUUGUGGGCUCACUGACAUAUUAAGCAUUUAUUCAGUAGCUCAAUGGGUGGAU